rnacentral:lncRNA from 1 species
UCAUAUAGGGCUGAACAGCAGGCGGGCCUGCUAAUGGUCAUGUGAAGCCCAUUUGGACUCCUUCCAAUAGAGUCCAAAUCCAUGGACUCUAAAGAGUUCAGUCAUGAACAUCAAAAGCCAACCAAUAUUACAAAACCAAAUAAUUAAAUGAGUAAUCAACUUUACCAAUCUUCAUUAAAUAGCAUAGCUAAAAGAUGAAUAAUUAUGUGCUGGACGUAAACAAAAUGUAAUACAGAUUACAAAUUUUGUCCACCUAAUACUAAAUCAACACAUUCUAUUCAAAGAAAAUUCCUUCUGGGAUGUGUACUCCCCAUUGUUCUCCAACUGAAACUCUUAAUUUACACGGAGAAAGACAUUGGCCUGUCCUUGUAAAUCAUAUGGUCAUGCGCAUCUACCAAAUGAAUAAACAACAUACUAUAAUUAGAUGUCACUACAUAAAUCAUUUUUAGCAUGGAUCAACAUUUAAAGAAUCAAAUCAAAUUGCAACAGAUGCUGUGUCAACUCUAAAAUGAUUUAAAAAUCAUAAACUUUCUUAAGCUUAAGACAUAGACAAACUCAAUCAUGAAUAUAGAAGGAAAGAAUAAGACUUGUAAGUAAACUCAGACAACAAGAACAAAUGAAUUCACAGGAAACAACAUUUCAAAUUUUAUUAUCAAGUUUCCAAGAGACAUCAUAGGUGAGAUUUCAACAUACCUAAGCAGAAUUCAAAGAACUGAGACCAAAUAAAGGUCAUAAAAUCCAAGGAGAAAACUUAGAAGAAAAAGCAGCAGCAGGUACGCAGGAGAAUAACAAUGAAGAAAACUCCAGAAUAAACUUCAACUUCAGCUCAAGAACCAACUUAAAAGACCAAGGAUUAAAAAAAACCAAAACUUUUGAAUUUUUGUGUGAGUGCCAAUUGCAGAAAAUUUUGUAUCUUUUCUAUUUAAAUGCCAAAAUCAGUGUCAAAAAAUGAAAGGAAAAUUCUGAAGUGCAGAGAGUAUUUUCAAUAUGUGAAAUCUAUGUGUAAGUCUGUCCUUUAUAUAGAGUGUAGGAAUGCAAAAGGAUAGGAAUGAGAGAAGGUCUAAUAGGGAAUAUUCCCGAAUGAAUUUCAGGGAUGUCAGCUAUAAAAAGGGACAAGAAAUCAUCUUUUAACAGAUUUUGGUACAGCUAUCCUUUUUAUCCAAUUUUCAGCAUCGUUUUAACACUAAAAAUGUACAGCUAUCCAAUACUAGAAGCUUCUGACAUUUUUAUCUAAAGUUCCCCCAUUUUUUACUUCCCAAUUGACCUUUUUAUGUUCUGCUUAAUACAAAUGGCCACCCCAAUUUUAACUUAAUUUCUGAUUCUCAAUGCCCUAAGUUUCCAUGUUCCUUUAGACCCCCUCAAGUUUCAAUUUCAAAGAAACACACUGAUAUGAAUAAAUAUAAAUCAACCAAAAUCUUUAACAAGUUAAUUGAUAAUAUAUGCAAUUGAACACACUAACUGAAUCCGGCCAGAACAAAAAAUUAAACAAAAAUGAUAAGCCAAAAGAUAAUAAUUCCAAAUCAUGUAAUUAACUUAAAUAACCUAUUUUAAAUUACACUAAUGAAAUUACUAAACAACAACUAACUAGUGAUUAAAUUAAAAAAAACCGAAAGAAAAAAGAAAAAGUAACAAGUAGAGGGAAAGGAACAUAUAGUGAUCUGGCCGGAAAUGGUUGAACAAACAAGACGAAUCAAUGAAUGACGAUGACGACGAAGCUUGCCCGGUCAGUAUUGACUUGGCUGGAAUCCGGAGAGCUUCGAAAUGAGCCGAAAAUGACACUAAUCGAUUGUUCUUACUGGAGAACAAUCGAUUGGCAUAAAUUUCGACUCGAAUCGAGCCUUGAAACAGUUGAAAAUCAGAAAGAGGUACGGAUUAUGAUUUUUGUUUCUUUUGGAAUUUCAGAUUUGGAAUUAAAGCAAAUGGGUGAGGCUUUUGGGAAAAUUAAUGGUGGAUAUGAGAUGAGGAGAGUGUGGUGGUUGUCUGGUAUGAAUUUGGGUGAAAUUGGAGUAACGCCACCGCCGUAGGCAAUUUCCAGCGGGGCGGCGGCCGGUGGUGAGAGGCAGAGUGUGAGAGAGGAGAAAGGGGGGAUCAUGAGGGAUUUGGGGGUUAGGGGGUCUUUUCGGACAUAUUUAAGGGCUUGAGUAGGUUAGUUCUCAGCCAUUAAUUAGAUCAUAAUUGAUCAAUGGCUGAGAUUAAUUAGGGGAGAAACAAUAUUGUUUGGCUGGUAGGGAUUGGGACCGAAUCAGGCAGGGAGUAUGGGAAUUGAACUAGGGGAGUUUAUGUCAUUUGGGCCAUUAUUUUUUUUGGAUAGUUCCGAUUUGAUAGCCUUUUCCUUUUAUUCUUCUUUUUCUUAAUCUUAAUCUAAAAAACCUAAAUUAAAUUCUAAAUUAAACUAAAGUAUAAAAUUAAACUAAUUAUAUAUUUAUAAUAUUUACAUAACUAAUCAAUCCUAAAUUAAUGAAAUAAAAUUACUAAUUUAACACUAAAAUCUACAAAUGUAAAAAUGAAUAAUAUUUUUGUGAUUUUUUUUAAUAAUACAAUUAAUUAACGUCUUAUCCUUAAAAAUGCAAAUAACAACCUAAAAUGCAAUUCGUGAAAUUUUGAACAUUUUUAGGGUAUUUUUCAUGAUUUUAAAAUAUUAAAUCUGCACAAAAAUGAAACUAAAUGCAAACAAUUAACAAGAAAUUCCUACAAAAUUCUAUAAAAAUGAAAAUAAUUUAGAAAAAUAUUUUUUUUUAUUUUUGUAGGAGCAUUUCUAGUUGGGAAAAAAUCAUGUGUUCACACUUCGUAAUGCAUUAAUAGAUCAUUUAUGGGAGAAUACUAGAGGUUGAAGUUGAAUAUUUAUGUAGUAUUUUUAAUAAAUUUAAUCGUUAUGUAAUAUGUAUUUAAUUAAUCUUGUAUCGCAAUGAUUUCACUUUUAUUUGAAUUAUUAGUUAAUCUAUAAUAAUUUCUUACAAAUUAUAUUGAUAAAUUUUAUAAAAUUGUUUUAAUGAAAAUUACAAAUUAAUGAAAAUAAAAGAUAGAAUUUGUUUUAAUGGAAAUUAAAAAAUUAAAAUUGAAAUGAAAAAUAAUAAUAUAAUAUAGAAGAGAGAGAAGAAUAUAAAAAAAUUAUUCUCUUUUGGAGGAAAAAUGGGGGAAUGGUUGGAGUAAGUUGUCUCCAAAAUGGAAAAUUCUCAUUUUAGGGACCAAAAUGGGGGUAAAGACUGGAGAUACCUUUUUGAGGUGAGAAUAAAGUUUCGUUGUAGACAAUUUUUUUUGUAUGUUUCCUUCUAAUGCUUUGAUUGCUCUACCAUAAUCAGAAUUCCUGUUGUCGAUAGUGAUAUCUCUCUUAAAAGUUUAACAUAUAGUUGUUCGUGCAAAAUAAUAUAUUGCGAUAUAUAGUCCAAUAUUUAGGAUGUUUGUCCUUGUGCUUUAUUUAUCAUAAUUGCAGAACAUAAACAUAUUGAAAAUGUAUCGUAAUUUCUGCAUGCAUGAUCUUAUUAUUAUCACACCUCCUUUUUCGCUUACACCCCGUAAAGGGUAUAAAUGAGUAAAGGGAGUUUUUCCAAUUAAGGACAAUCGAAACGGGAUUUAUUUUUAAAAGAUUCAGAAUCGCCACUUAGGAGAUUUAUGGUGUCCCAAGUCAUCGGUUGAAUCCCGAAUCGAGAAAAAUAUGACUCUGUUUAAUAGUCCGCGAACCAGAAAUUCGAGUAAGGAAUUCUGUUAACCCAAGAGAAGGUGUUAGGCACUCUCGAGUUCCGUGGUUAUAGCACGGUCGCUCAAUUGUUUUAUUCGGCUUAAUAAUCUGAUUUUAAACAAUUAUAAACCUAUGUGCAAAUUUUAACCUUUAAUCGUUUUUAUUUAUUCUUAGGGAGUAUUUCAGCGUCAUCUAAAACACGUCUUUGGACCACGCCACAUGAAAUACACUCGCAGUCCGAGACAUAUUUUAUUUAACGUUGCUAAGAUUAGGAUCGGAUCACAUGAAAUGCACACCCGAAUUUAAUAAUUACAAAUCACAACGACGUCACGGGAACCGUACCCGUAGUCAUGAUAAUUGCCUAAAGCACACUACGAAUAUUCAUGAUUAAUUUCCCAAACGCAAUUUAUAUAUAGGUUUUUCCCUACAAACACAACUGAUUCAACAAAAGGCCAGAAACUUCAAGUAUUUAUGCUGGAAUUAAUGAGUAAAAAGGCAUCAGAAUACGAGGCAGUAAAGAUCCAAUUACCAAGAGAACCUUAAUAUAAAAAGCGAUAGACAAACAAAUUCUGAAGUUCCGAUCGUUGAAAGAAAAUCAUCAUGCAUUAGUUGUUUUAAACAUGUGUUCUUCUAUGUUAAUAAGUCUUAUAUUAUAAAAAUUUCAGCAGAAUAAUUCAACUAGAACACACAAACAGACAUAAAAAUGUAGCUCGAAUCAAGAAAAGGUGAACAAAAUUUUAGACAACAUUUUAGACCUAGCUCGAACAUGAAUCGAUUUAUUCCAGACAUGAUUAAGUAAAGAAGAGAAAGUGGGCAUGAACCUGUUUAGCUGAAACUCCUUUUGAUAAGGUAGUAGAAAAUAGAAACAGUAAUAUGCCCAAAUAACGAACUAAAUCGGAUGAGAAUCGCAGACUUUGGCGAAGAAAAUCGUCUGAACUUCCAUUCAAAAUAAAUUUCUGAUGUAACACCAAAAACAAAUACGACAACCAACUCUAGCCAAAUCGGACGCGAUUUUGACCGGAGAACCUCGACAACAAACUCGGCGAUAACCUCACUUUCGAACACUCCACUGACCAACAUUCACUCAAAUGUACAGAAACAAAUCGUUUGGAUCUCGCGGACCACGUACGAAGACCUCGACGAACAACCUCACCUCCGACAGUACCUUAAUCGCGAUUUCGAAACAGAUUGAAUGGACAAUAUCUGUAAUAAACCAAACGAAGUUUGAAACCAUAUUCACGUGCCUCUCAUGCUCACAAAAAACUCGACGAGUUCGGUGAUGUCCCUUUCCCGUUCUGUGCGUGGAUGUGUCUAUGUGUAAGUGUUUUCCGGCGAGAGGGAGAUGAGUGUCGUGCUUUUAGUGACAGCAUGGAAGGGAGGAGAUCGGCUACUGUCGUGCAUGGCUAUUCAUGGUUUAUGCUGGUCAUUUGUGACGUGAAGCUUCGCCGGAAAUGGCAGCUUCGCGGUGAACGGAGGUCCAACUACGAUGGUGAGCUGGGUGAGGUCGCUUGGUUCUGUUUGUCGCGUUUGGAACUCGUUAAUCCGACGAGCUGGUGGAGAUCAUUUUUCCGACGAGUUUCAGGCAGAGACGGGGUCAUUUGACGAUUAACGUUUAGGGGUCGUUGGUGUUUUCUCCGGAGAGUUGGGUUGUUCCCGGUUUUGGGGGCUGUUGGGAUAUGGAGUUGAUGAAGAGAUCAGGGGUGUUGUUUGGUUUAUCACGCGAAGCAGUUCUGGAAAAUGGGGGGGGGGGGUCGUUGGAGAAGAUGGUGGGGGUGGGGGCCGUGAAGAAGACGACGCAAGGGGGAGGGGUUCCUGCGCAGCUUCUGCGUAUUUUGC